CAGGAGCAAGAAACCCUAGGGUUUCUUGCCGCCAGAUCCAUAGAAGGCAGGAAAAGCAGGGGAGGCGCUAGCCCCUCCCCCUUUGUGCCACCAACCAUAUUGCCUCUCCCUCUCUUGCAGCCAUCCAAAAAUUAGGUCCAGAACUUGGAAUCUCUUGCUAUGAGGUUAGUACAAGUUUUGCUCAAAUCUAGAGUUGAUCUGAGGUCGUUUGAGGUGCGGG
rnacentral:lncRNA from 1 species